rnacentral:lncRNA from 1 species
UUGAUGUAAGGUUCCGGUUCUGAAUAAUUUCUAGCAUUGUCUAGAAUGAGCGAUUUUAUUGUAAGUUCCUUUAUAAAAGCUUAGAAUUUUGCAAACGUAACAUAUACGCCAUCUUGCAUGACUAUCUUGAUCUCACAUACAAAACAAAAAGAAAAAUACAUUAGUAACAAUGUACUAAAUAAAAAGAUUAAACAAAAAUAAAACUAAAAAGAGAAAGAAUAGGAAAUAAAAUUUAAGAAGAAA